UGGGGAAUUUUGGACAAUGGGCGAAAGCCUGAUCCAGCAAUGCCGCGUGUGUGAAGAAGGCCUUCGGGUUGUAAAGCACUUUUGUCCGGAAAGAAAUCCUUGGCUCUAAUACAGUCGGGGGAUGACGGUACCGGAAGAAUAAGCACCGGCUAACUACGUGCCAGCAGCCGCGGUAAUACGUAGGGUGCAAGCGUUAAUCGGAAUUACUGGGCGUAAAGCGUGCGCAGGCGGUUUGCUAAGACCGAUGUGAAAUCCCCGGGCUCAACCUGGGAACUGCAUUGGUGACUGGCAGGCUAGAGUAUGGCAGAGGGUGGUAGAUUCCACGUGUAGCAGUGAAAUGCGUAGAGAUGUGGAGGAAUACCGAUGGCGAAGGCAGCCCCCUGGGCCAAUACUGACGCUCAUGCACGAAAGCGUGGGGAGCAAACAGGAUUAGAUACCCUGGUAGUCCACGCCCUAAACGAUGUCAACUAGUUGUUGGGGAUUCAUUUCCUUAGUAACGUAGCUAACGCGUGAAGUUGACCGCCUGGGGAGUACGGUCGCAAGAUUAAAACUCAAAGGAAUUGACGGGGUCAUAGCUGUUUCC
rnacentral:rRNA from 1 species